rnacentral:lncRNA from 1 species
AUGCUGGCGAAACAAAACUAUCCAUAGCCGCUGCAUGUUUAUGCACCUGUCCUGAUUGAUUCAGGGGCCUGUCGUUCAGCAGUUAUCGUUUGUUGAUGUUGUUCAUUGGUACUUUUUUUUUCCGUUUGGAUAUAUAAAUUAGAUCGUUGGUUUUCCUGUUCGAAUUGUGUACGCUAAUAAUUUUGGGGUCCUUUAUAGCUUGCUGUUUGGUCUGUAUCAAAGCCCUGUGUAAAAGGCCGUACUUUGACCUGUGUUUGUUAUUAUCAGGUUGAGAACAACCCUCCCUCAGACAAGGGGUCAUUUUACUGAUGUAGAAAAGAAAAUGAAAAUACCAAGGAUUUGUAUAGUUCUUCUAUACAAAACCUUUGAAAACUUAGA